GAUGAAUGCUGGCGGCGUGCCUAACACAUGCAAGUCGAGCGGCAGCGAGGGGUGCUUGCACCCUGUCGGCGAGCGGCGAACGGCUGAGUAACGCGUAGGAAUUUGCCCCAAAGUGAGGAAUAACUGCCCGAAAGGGUAGCUAAUGCCGCAUAUGGUCUUCGGAUUAAAGGAUUUAUCCGCUUUGGGAGAAGCCCGCGUUGGAUUAGGUUGUUGGUAGGGUAAUGGCCUACCAAGCCGACGAUCCAUAGCUGGUCUGAGAGGAUGAUCAGCCAGACUGGAACUGAGACACGGUCCAGACUCCUACGGGAGGCAGCAGUGAGGAAUCUUCCACAAUGGGCGAAAGCCUGAUGGAGCAACGCCGCGUGAAGGAUGAAGGCCUUCGGGUUGUAAACUUCUUUUAUGAGUGAAGAAUAUGACGGUAACUCAUGAAUAAGCACCGGCUAACUACGUG
rnacentral:rRNA from 1 species